rnacentral:lncRNA from 1 species
GCUGCCCACUGAGGGAAAGGAGCCAUGGAAAAGUGUGCUAGUUCAGGUCUUCAGAGAAACAGAAGCCAGGACAGGAUUCAGCAUGUGAGGGUUUUAUUAGGGAGAAACCUGUGGGACAGGUGAUGAGGUGGGAGCCAGCUUAGUCUGGGAGAGUGUCAGACCAGGGUGUGUGUUGACCCAGGAGGGAAGGAGGGCAGAUCCCAGGACUCUGCAGCCCCUGAACGAUCCAGCAAGGCCACUGGGAAGUGCUGCAGUCAAAACCAGCUGUCAGUGGAGUCCCUGGUGUCCACUUAGUCACUGCGGGGGAGUAGCUUUUGGUGGGUGGCCUGCCUCUGGGCAGACACAGCAAGGCCGUCUCCAGACCUGGCUUCCUUAUUCUCUUUGCACUUGGAGGUGUGCGGGGCCACGACCAUAUUGGGAACCAAAGGUACCCAGAAAGCUUGGUGCGAGUCAUCUCAUUUGUUUUCCUUGCCAGUUGGAUCAAGCUUUUCAUUUCUACCUAGAGGUGAAACUACAGCAAACAACAAAUAGAAUCGAUUGCAGUCUCCCAUUGGCUGUUAACAAGUUUGUGAGCAAGGGUGUCUCCAAUGUGAAGCAUUUUUGCAAUUACUCCUCAUAA